GCCCCUGUGAUGUCAGAAUGCUGCUGCCACAUGGAGAACAAUGGUGCCUGGCAGCUGCUUCCCGCCAGAGCUAUCCCUCAACCAGCCGAGGCAAUUCCCUAAUUCAGCGCAGAAUGCAUUAGCUCCAGGCUGAAGAGAAUCCAGAUCUGAAGCUCAUGACACAAAAGUGCUGGAAGCUGCUUUAGCAGGGGAAUUGGACUAGAUGAUCUCCAGCAGUCCCUUCCAAACCCUACGUUUCUGUGAUUCUGCAAUCAAAAACAUGCAAGUAAUGCUUUUCAGUAAUAUUACAGUUCAUCUGCUGUAACUCCAAUGGCACAUAUGUGGAUCAAAUAUGUUACUGGAUAUUUGUUAGUGUAAAUGCAAUUAAUGCAAGAUCAGCUCAAAUAUUUUGGGGAAUGACUGAUAACAUUCAUACUGCAGCUAAACAUGUAACAGGUGGGGAGAGUUGGAGGGUUGAACAGAAUAGAGCAUGGGAUGUUGUCUAUGGUGUUAAAAUAUGUAGCCUGGAAGCUUUAGUAGGUUGCUUUGGAUUUGCUCCUCCACCAAGGCUUAACAGCAGUGACAGAGAUGUUAAGAAUGAAGUAUGGAAUAAGAUACAAUAACAACCCCAAAGCUAUAUUCAUGAAGGCAAAUACAUCUACAGCCCUAUCCUUCUUACCUGCCUAGGUAAUCAAGAGACUUUUAGUUAGAAAUAUUUACUGCCUUUGAAAUUAGUAGUACUGCACUUAACUACAUCAUCAGAUUGUACCUGUUGUAUGUCCCUUACAUUCAUUAUUUGAUCCUUAGUUGUUUUGCAUUUAUAGAAUAGAGAAUUGGAUUGGAUAUUUGAGUCAUUGACUUCCAUGUUUGUAAUCGCAUGAGAAGUGUAUACCAGAAGAGUUUCAGAAACAUUCAUUCAUCGAAAGAGGCCAAGGGUGGCCCCUUUCUGCUUGUGCAGGCCCAAUGGAAGUACUGUCCCCAGGCCUGGAGCUCGCAGCACAAGAAAGACAUGGAACUUUGGAGAGGGACCAGAGAAGGACCGCAAAGAUUAUCAGAAAAAUGGAGCACCACUUUUAUGAAGUAAGGUUGAGGGAGCUGGGCUUACGCAGUUUGGAGAAGGCUUUGGGG